rnacentral:rRNA from 1 species
GCAAGCGUUGUCCGGAAUCAUUGGGCGUAAAGAGCUCGUAGGCGGUCUGGCACGUCGGAUGUGAAAACCCGGGGCUCAACCCCGGGCCUGCAGUCGAUACGGGCAGACUAGAGUGCGGUAGGGGAGACUGGAAUUCCUGGUGUAGCGGUGAAAUGCGCAGAUAUCAGGAGGAACACCGGUGGCGAAGGCGGGUCUCUGGGCCGUAACUGACGCUGAGGAGCGAAAGCGUGGGGAGCGAACAGG